UUCUGAGGCACCCAAUAGAGUGAACAUAGCGAUUUCUGGUAAACAUUUUUCAGAAAAGUAUUUAUAUUCAUAUAAAUGCGAGAAACGUCCAGUGUCUAGUCAAGUUGAACUCCAAAAAGCAAUUGAUGGAAAUCGAAAAGAAGGACAUAGGAGCAGUUAUGGAGCAUAUGGUUGCGGUGGUAGUGACAGUAUGAUUCAAAGAAGUCUUCACACACCUUAUUCACUGACUUUAAAUUAUCAAAUGUCUCCAUUAUCUCUGAUCACGGGGGUAGGUGGACAACACCAAGCAUUAGCAAAUGGACGUGCAGCACAUACUCCUUUACCACAUCAUUCUCAACAUCCAUAAGGAAAACCAUCCACCGGUUUAACACCAGCUAAAUUUGAACCCAGAAUGAUAGAAUAAGUGAAACUUCUCAACAAAGAACUAAGAAAUGCAGGUGCAGGAACACCUCCACCAAUGAUAUACCGACAAGGGAGGGAGUGAUAUUUGGUGGAGAUCAUCUCCAACUUGAUUUAUCGAUUCAUCUUGAGCUAGUCUUAUUUCUGGUUCUUCUUCAGCUGGUUUAGGAGUACAUAUUUUCGUCUCUGAUGACUCACUCAUUGAUGUUCUUGAAAUUGGUUACCGGGUAGCAAAGAGAGGAGAAGUUUUGAAAGUUAAAGAUCUUGGUACUGUAACUCUAAUUGAUGAAGAUAUCGGAGAUGUGGAAAAACAAUAUCCUGGUUUAUUGAAGGCAACAAUCGAGUGGUUUAAAAUUCAUAAAAUUCCUGAUGAAAAAUCAGAAAAUCAAGUUCACGAGCACUGUAAAAAUCUUAUCAAACAUGAGACUGGAACUUCAGGAAUUUUAUAGUAGUCACAAUAUAAUUAUUUAUAUAUGAAUUACUUGAAAAAAAUCUUAUUAAAGGUAGACAUGUAUGUAAUUUUAGUAUGAAUUUAACUGUGGAUAGAAGCCCAUUUAAAAUUGAUGCAAGUGCAGCUGAAGAUAUUUUAAAUCAAGUAUUGAUAAGAAUAAUGGUAAUAACAAUAAUAAUUAAUGUAACUAUAUCAAUGAUCAAUUAAUUACAUUGAAUAAAUUUUGGCAUUGUUGUAUGAA
rnacentral:lncRNA from 1 species